rnacentral:rRNA from 1 species
AACGAACGCUGGCGGCAUGCCUAACACAUGCAAGUCGAACGAACCCUUCGGGGUUAGUGGCGCACGGGUGCGUAACGCGUGGGAAUCUGCCCUUUGCUUCGGAAUAACAGUUAGAAAUGACUGCUAAUACCGGAUGAUGUCUUCGGACCAAAGAUUUAUCGGCGAGGGAUGAGCCCGCGUAGGAUUAGGUAGUUGGUGGGGUAAAGGCCUACCAAGCCGACGAUCCUUAGCUGGUCUGAGAGGAUGAUCAGCCACACUGGGACUGAGACACGGCCCAGACUCCUACGGGAGGCAGCAGUGGGGAAUAUUGGACAAAGGGCGCAAGCCUGAUCCAGCAAUGCCGCGUGAGUGAUGAAGGCCUUCGGGUCGUAAAGCUCUUUUACCAGGGAUGAUAAUGACAGUACCCGGAGAAUAAGCUCCGGCUAACUCCGUGCCAGCCGCCGCGGUAAGAC